AGSGGSAKCUAUACAUGCAGUCGAGCGGACAGAAGGGAGCUUGCUCCCGGAUGUUAGCGGCGGACGGGUGAGUAACACGUGGGUAACCUGCCUGUAAGACUGGGAUAACUCCGGGAAACCGGAGCUAAUACCGGAUAGUUCCUUGAACCGCAUGGUUCAAGGAUGAAAGACGGUUUCGGCUGUCACUUACAGAUGGACCCGCGGCGCAUUAGCUAGUUGGUGGGGUAAUGGCUCACCAAGGCGACGAUGCGUAGCCGACCUGAGAGGGUGAUCGGCCACACUGGGACUGAGACACGGCCCAGACUCCUACGGGAGGCAGCAGUAGGGAAUCUUCCGCAAUGGACGAAAGUCUGACGGAGCAACGCCGCGUGAGUGAUGAAGGUUUUCGGAUCGUAAAGCUCUGUUGUUAGGGAAGAACAAGUGCGAGAGUAACUGCUCGCACCUUGACGGUACCUAACCAGAAAGCCACGGCUAACUACGUGCCAGCAGCCGCGGUAAUACGUAGGUGGCAAGCGUUGUCCGGAAUUAUUGGGCGUAAAGGGCUCGCAGGCGGUUUCUUAAGUCUGAUGUGAAAGCCCCCGGCUCAACCGGGGAGGGUCAUUGGAAACUGGGAAACUUGAGUGCAGAAGAGGAGAGUGGAAUUCCACGUGUAGCGGUGAAAUGCGUAGAGAUGUGGAGGAACACCAGUGGCGAAAGCGACUCUCUGGUCUGUAACUGACGCUGAGGAGCGAAGCGUGGGGAGCGAACAGGAUUAGAUACYCUGGUAGUCCACGCCGUAACGAUGAGUGCUAGUGUAGGGGUUUCCGCCCCUUAGUGCUGCAGCUACGCAUAGCACUCGCUGGGGAGUACGGUCGCAGACUGAACUCAAGAUGACGGGGCCGCMCAGCGUGGAGCAUGUGCUAUCGAAGCACSGAGACUACCAGGUCUGACUCUCUGACMACCCUARAGAWAGGGCCU
rnacentral:rRNA from 1 species